GUUAUAUGGUCAAGCGAAUAAGCGCACACGGUGGAUGCCUAGGCGGUCAGAGGCGAUGAAGGACGUGGUAGCCUGCGAAAAGUGUCGGGGAGCUGGCAACAAGCUUUGAUCCGGCAAUAUCCGAAUGGGGAAACCCACUGCUUCGGCAGUAUCCUGCAGUGAAUUCAUAGCUGCUGGAAGCGAACCCGGUGAACUGAAAUAUCUAAGUAACCGGAGGAAAAGAAAUCAACCGAGAUUCCCUAAGUAGUGACGAGCGAACGGGGAGCAGCCCUUAAGCUGGAAUGGCUUUAGAAAAACAAUCUGGAAAGAUUGGCCAUAGAAGGUGAUAGCCCUGUAUUUAAAAGGGCCACUCCAGUGAAGACGAGUAGGGCGGGGCACGUGAAACCCUGUCUGAAUAUGGGGGGACCAUCCUCCAAGGCUAAAUACUCCUGACCGACCGAUAGUGAACCAGUACCGUGAGGGAAAGGCGAAAAGAACCCCGGAGA
rnacentral:rRNA from 1 species